UACGAAGGGUGCAAGCGUUAUCCGGAUUCACUGGGUUUAAAGGGUGCGUAGGUGGGUUUGUAAGUCAGUGGUGAAAUCUCCAAGCUUAACUUGGAAACUGCCGUUGAUACUAUAAAUCUUGAAUGUUGUGGAGGUGAGCGGAAUAUGUCAUGUAGCGGUGAAAUGCUUAGAUAUGACAUAGAACACCAAUUGCGAAGGCAGCUCACUACACAAAGAUUGACACUGAGGCACGAAAGCGUGGGGAUCAAACAGG
rnacentral:rRNA from 1 species